CUACGGGUUGCUCCAGUAGGGAAUCUUAGACAAUGGGGGAAACCCUGAUCUAGCCAUGCCGCGUGAGUGAUGAAGGCCUUAGGGUUGUAAAGCUCUUUCGCUGGGGAAGAUAAUGACGGUACCCAGUAAAGAAGCCCCGGCUAACUCCGUGCCAGCAGCCGCGGUAAUACGGAGGGGGUUAGCGUUGUUCGGAAUUACUGGGCGUAAAGCGCGCGUAGGCGGGCUAUUAAGUCAGGGGUGAAAUCCCGGGGCUCAACCCCGGAACUGCCUUUGAUACUGGUAGUCUUGAGUUCGAGAGAGGUGAGUGGAAUUCCGGGUGUAGAGGUGAAAUUCGUAGAUAUUCGGAGGAACAUCAGUGGCGAAGGCGACUCACUGGCUCGAUACUGACGCUGAGGUGCGAAAGUGUGGGGAGCAAACAGGAUUAGAUACCCGGGUAGUC
rnacentral:rRNA from 1 species